UAGGGAAUAUUGCGCAAUGGACGAAAGUCUGACGCAGCGACGCCGCGUGAGUGAUGAAGGUCUUUUGAUUGUAAAGCUCUGUAAGAGGGGAAGAAAAAUUUAAAAUUGACGGUACCCUCAAAGUAAGGACCGGCUAAAUAUGUGCCAGCAGCCGCGGUAAUACAUAUGGUCCGAGCGUUGUCCGGAAUGACUGGGCGUAAAGGGUGUGUAGGCGGAUUGGAAAGUCAGGUGUGAAAUCCCCGAGCUUAACUCGGGAUCUGCGCUUGAAACUUCCAGUCUUGUGCAUGUCAGGGGUAAGCGGAAUUCCCGGAGUAGCGGUGAAAUGCGUAGAUAUCGGGAAGAACACCGGUGGCGAAGGCGGCUUACUGGGGCAUAGCAGACGCUGAGACACGAAAGCGUGGGGAGCGAACAGG
rnacentral:rRNA from 1 species